rnacentral:rRNA from 1 species
AGAGUUUGAUCAUGGCUCAGGAUGAACGCUGGCGGCGUGCCUAACACAUGCAAGUCGAACGGGUUAAGGGAAAUUUCGGAUGGAACUUAACUUAGUGGCGGACGGGUGAGUAACGCGUGGAUAACCUGCCUCACACUGGGGGAUAGCAGCUGGAAACGGCUGGUAAUACCGCAUAAGACCCCGGCACCGCAUGGUGCCGAGGUAAAAGAUUUAUCGGUGUGGGAUGGAUCCGCGUCUGAUUAGCCAGUUGGCGGGUAACGGCCCACCAAAGCGACGAUCAGUAGCCGGCCUGAGAGGGUGAACGGCCACAUUGGGACUGAGACACGGCCCAAACUCCUACGGGAGGCAGCAGUGGGGAAUAUUGCACAAUGGGCGCAAGCCUGAUGCAGCAAACCGCCGCGUGAGUGAAGAAGUAUUUCGGUAUGUAAAGCUCUAUCAGCAGGAAAGAAAGGCCCGAAAGGGAGAUGACGGUACCUGACUAAGAAGCCCCGGCUAACUACGUGCCAGCCGCUGC